AUACGUAGGUACUGCAGUGUAACAAAUGGUUCCCCGUAGUGGUUACCGGUUACCACGGUCACGGAACGCGAGGACGGUGAUCGUAAUGAUACAUUAUUAUUAUUAUUAUUAUUAUCGUAUAUUGUUCCUUAUCAUAUUAUAGAUAAAACCGAAUACGGUACACGCACGACGGACGUAUCCGAAUUGGUUCCCGAGCUCAUACCAUAGCUCCACAGACCGAAUCGUUAAAAAACGGUACUUUAUGAUGGUGAGCCGAACUGGUUCCCGUUUAAUGCGUACAUUUAAACAAUAAACGCAAUA